UACGAAGGGGGCUAGCGUUAAUCGGAAUUACUGGGCGUAAAGCGCACGUAGGCGGCUUGGUAUGUCGGGUGUGAAAUCCCCGGGCUCAACCUGGGAACUGCAUCCGAAACUGCCUUGCUCGAGUAUGGGAGAGGGAAGUGGAAUUUCCGGUGUAGCGGUGAAAUGCGUAGAUAUCGGAAGGAACAUCAGUGGCGAAGGCGACUUCCUGGACCAAUACUGACGCUCAGGUGCGAAAGCGUGGGGAGCAAACAGG
rnacentral:rRNA from 1 species